rnacentral:rRNA from 1 species
GCAUAAUCAUUUGCCUUUUAAUUGGUGGCUAGAAUGAAAGGAUAAACGAGAAUCUAACUGUCUCUCUUUAAUAAAUAAAAAUUAGUUUUUAGGUGAAGAAACCUAAAUAUCAAUUAAAGACAAGAAGACCCUGUAGAGCCUAAUCUUAAGUUAUUAAUAUUUAUAAUAAUAAGAGAUUUAGUUGGGGCGACUAAGGUUCACCCACACAAACCUUUAUAUUAACUAGGCUGCCUCGCCUCAAUAAUGACCCAAUAUUUGAUCAUCGGAACAGGCUACCUCAGGGAUAACAGACUAAUUUCUUUUAAAAGUCCAAAUUAACAAAGAAGA